UACAGAGGGGGCAAGCGUUGUUCGGAAUUACUGGGCGUAAAGGGCGCGUAGGCGACCUGCUAAGUCAGACGUGAAAUCCCUCGGCUUAACCGGGGAACUGCGUCUGAUACUGGUUGGCUUGAAUCCGGGAGAGGGAUGUGGAAUUCCCGGUGUAGCGGUGAAAUGCGCAGAUAUCGGGAGGAACACCGGUGGCGAAGGCGGUUCUCUGGGCCUUACCUGACGCUGAGGAGCGAAAGCGUGGGGAGCGAACAGG
rnacentral:rRNA from 1 species